CUAGUGAGGGAAGUCUUUCCUGCCAGGAGAUGUUCAUUGAAGUGCAGACUGCUCGGAGCCACACCGCAGGCUGGCAGAGGAAGUGUCUCGGUGUUGCCUUGGCCCGUUCACCCCCUGCCAGGCCAGUAGAGGAGCUGAAGAGUCUUCGCCAUGGUUUGAGAAAAAGGUUAUAGAGGCCUGAGGCUGGAGGCAGGGGGAUCAGUGAGGAGGCUGCAGCAUCAGUCCAGGCUCUCUCCAAGUUCGCUCCAGGGCUUGCGAGAAACAAAGUGCUCUCCCUCAGCCCCAGCUCCUCGCACACCCAGUGGAAAGGAAACACUUGCUGUAAUUGGAAAGCCCCGAGAAGGUUGAGAGCACUUUUGUUUUCUUCAUCUCUGCGUCCUUAUUUCUUGGAACACUACCUGGCAAACCAUGGGUGCACCAUGCAGCAAGUUAAGGUCGCCGAAGUAGAAUUGCGUAUUAAGCCAGUGUCUCCAUCCAGG
rnacentral:lncRNA from 10 species